CCUACGUGUGGCUGCAGUGAGGAAUAUUGGUCAAUGGACGAGAGUCUGAUCCAGCCACGUAGCGUGAAGGAUGACUGCCCUAUUGGUUGUAAACUUCUUUUAUAUGGGAAUAAAACGUUCCACGUGUGGGAUUUUGUAUGUACCAUCUGCAUAAUGAUCGGCUAACUCCGUGCCAGCCGCCGCGGUAAUACGGAGGAUCCGAGCGUUAUCCGGAUUUAUUGGGUUUAAGGGGCGCGUAGGUGGGUUGUUAAGUGCGUUGUGAAAGUUUGCGGCUAAAUCGGAAAAUUGCAGUGGAAACUGGCAGUCUUGAGUACAGUAGAGGUGGGCGGAAUUCGGGGUGUAGCGGGGAAAUGCUUAGAUAUCACGAAGAACUCCGAUUGCGAAGGCAGUUCACUGGACUGCAACUGACACUGAGGCUCGAAAGUUUGGGUAUCAAACAGGAUUAGAUACCCCUUAGUG
rnacentral:rRNA from 1 species